rnacentral:rRNA from 1 species
CCUACGGGUGGCUGCAGUGGGGAAUAUUGCACAAUGGGGGAAACCCUGAUGCAGCGACGCCGCGUGAGUGAAGAAGUAUUUCGGGGUGUAAAGCUCUAUCAGCAGGGAAGAAAAUGACGGUACCUGAUUAAGCAGCCCCGGCUAACUACGUGCCAGCAGCCGCGGUAAUACGUAGGGGGCAAGCGGUAUCCGGAUUUAAUGGGUGUAAAGGGAGCGUAGACGGGAGCACAAGUCUGGAGUGAAAUGCCGGGGCUUAACCCCGGAACUGCUUUGGAAACUGGGCAGCUAGAGUGCAGGAGAGGUAAGUGGAAUGCGUAGUGUAGCGGUGAAAUGCGUAGAUAUUAGGAGGAACCCCAGUGGCGAAGGCGGCUUACUGGACUGUAACUGACGCUGAGGCUCGAAAGCGCGGGGAGCAAACAGGAUUAGAUACCCGUGUAGUC